rnacentral:rRNA from 1 species
UAAGUCAGAGGUGAAAUCCUGCAGCUCAACUGUAGAAUUGCCUUUGAUACUGGUAAUCUUGAAUUAUAUUGAAGUAGUUAGAAUGUGUAGUGUAGCGGUGAAAUGCAUAGAUAUUACAUAGAAUACCGAUUGCGAAGGCAGAU